rnacentral:rRNA from 1 species
AGAAUCAACGCUGGCGGCGUGCCUAACACAUGCAAGUCGAACGAGAAAGUGGAGCAAUCCAUGAGUAAAGUGGCGCACGGGUGAGUAACACGUGACUAACCUACCCUGGAGUGGGGAAUAACUGAGGGAAACCUUAGCUAAUACCGCAUAACACCUACGGGUCAAAGGAGCAAUUCGCUUCAGGAGGGGGUCGCGGCAGAUUAGCUAGUUGGCGGGGUAAUGGCCCACCAAGGCAGUGAUCUGUAUCCGGCCUGAGAGGGCGCACGGACACACUGGAACUGAAACACGGUCCAGACUCCUACGGGAGGCAGCAGUGGGGAAUUUUGCGCAAUGGGGGAAACCCUGACGCAGCAACGCCGCGUGGAGGAUGAAGUCCCUUGGGACGUAAACUCCUUUCGAUCGGGACGAUUAUGACGGUACCGGAAGAAGAAGCCCCGGCUAACUUCGUGCCAGCAGCCGC